AGUAGCGCGCUCAAGACCCGAAGCGGAGUGAUCUAGCCAUGGGCAGGUUGAAGCGGAGGUAAGACUUCGUGGAGGACCGAACCCACCAGGGUUGAAAACCUGGGGGAUGACCUGUGGUUAGGGGUGAAAGGCCAAUCAAACUCCGUGAUAGCUGGUUCUCCCCGAAAUGCAUUUAGGUGCAGCGUCGUGUGUUUCUUGCCGGAGGUAGAGCACUGGAUAGGCGAUGGGCCCUACCGGGUUACUGACCUUAGCCAAACUCCGAAUGCCGGUAAGUGAGAGCGCGGCAGUGAGACUGUGGGGGAUAAGCUCCAUGGUCGAGAGGGAAACAGCCCAGAGCAUCGACUAAGGCCCCUAAGCGUACGCUAAGUGGGAAAGGAUGUGGAGUCGCACAGACAACCAGGAGGUUGGCUUAGAAGCAGCCACCCUUGAAAGAGUGCGUAAUAGCUCACUGGUCUAGUGAUUCCGCGCCGACAAUGUAGCGGGGCUCAAGCGUACCGCCGAAGUCGUGUCAUUGCAGCAAUAGGGCCAACGCCUGCUGUGAUGGGUAGGGGAGCGUCGUGUGCCGGGUGAAGCCGCGCCGGAAGGCAGUGGUGGACGGUUCACGAGUGAGAAUGCAGGCAUGAGUAGCGAUUCACACGUGAGAAACGUGUGCGCCGAUUGACUAAGGGUUCCUGGGUCAAGCUGAUCUGCCCAGGGUAAGUCGGGACCUAAGGCGAGGCCGACAGGCGUAGUCGAUGGAUAACCGGUUGAUAUUCCGGUACCCGCUGUGAAGCGUCAAACAUCGAACCAGGCGAUGCUAAGUCCGUGAAGCCGCCCCGGAGCCUUCGGGCAAAGGGGAGUGGUGGAGCCGACGAACCAGACUUGCAGUAGGUGAGUGAUGGGGUGACGCAGGAAGGUAGUCCAUCCCGGGCGGUGGUUGUCCCGGGGUAAGGGUGUAGG
rnacentral:rRNA from 1 species